rnacentral:tRNA from 1 species
UAUUUUGGCAGAUUAGUGCAUUUGAUUUAGAAUCAUUUUAAGUAAAGUUUUUUUAUUACAAGUAAUAU